UACAGAGGGUGCGAGCGUUGUUCGGAAUUACUGGGCGUAAAGCGCGCGCAGGCGGCCUUUUAAGUCUGCUGGUGAAAUGCCGGGGCUCAACCCCGUGCCCGCCACAGAUACUGGGAGGCUGGAGACGAGUAGAGGCAAGCGGAAUUCCGGGUGUAGCGGUGGAAUGCGUAGAGAUCCGGAAGAACACCGGAGGCGAAGGCGGCUUGCUGGGCUCGGUCUGACGCUGAGGCGCGAAAGCCAGGGGAGCGAACGGG
rnacentral:rRNA from 1 species